rnacentral:rRNA from 1 species
GCAUAUCAAUAAGCGGAGGAAAAGAAACCAACAGGGAUUGCCCUAGUAACGGCGAGUGAAGCGGCAACAGCUCAAAUUUGAAAUCUGGCUCUCGGGCCCGAGUUGUACUUUGUAGAGGAUGCUUUUGGCGCGGCGCCUUCCGAGUUCCCUGGAACGGGACGCCUUAGAGGGUGAGAGCCCCGUACGGUUGGCAGCCAAGCCUCUGUAAAGCUCCUUCGACGAGUCGAGUAGUUUGGGAAUGCUGCUCUAAAUGGGAGGUAAAUUUCUUCUAAAGCUAAAUAUUGGCCAGAGACCGAUAGCGCACAAGUAGAGUGAUCGAAAGAUGAAAAGCACUUUGAAAAGAGGGUUAAAUAGCACGUGAAAUUGUUGAAAGGGAAGCGUUUGCGACCAGACCUUUUCCUGGCGGAUCAUCCAGCCUUCUGGCUGGUGCACUUCGCCAGGUCGAGGCCAGCAUCGGUUUCGGCAGGGGGACAAAAGCUCAGGGAACGUAGCUCCUCCGGGAGUGUUAUAGCCCUCCGCAUAAUACCCUUGCCGGGACCGAGGACCGCGCCUUCGGGCAAGGAUGCUGGCGUAAUGGUUGUCAACGACCCGUCUUGAAACACGGACCAAGGAGUCGAACAUUUGUGCGAGUGUUUGGGUGUUAAACCCUCACGCGUAAUGAAGGUGAACGUAGGUGAGAGCCCUCACGGGUGCAUCAUCGACCGAUCCUGAUGUCUUCGGAUGGAUUUGAGUAAGAGCAUAACUGUUCGGACCCGAAAGAUGGUGAACUAUGCGUGGAUAGGGUGAAGCCAGAGGAAACUCUGGUGGAGGCUCGCAGCGGUUCUGACGUGCAAAUCGAUCGUCAAAUCUGCGCAUGGGGGCGAAAGACUUAUCGAACCAUCUAGUAGCUGGUUACCGCCGAA